GAAGGGUGCAAACGUUGCUCGGAAUUAUUGGGCGUAAAGCGCAUGUAGGCGGUUCGUCAAGUCGGAUGUGAAAGCCCCCGGGGCUCAACCUGGGAAGUGCAUUCGAAACUGGCGGACUUGAGUACGGGAGAGGGUCGCGGAAUUCCCGGUGUAGAGGUGAAAUUCGUAGAUAUCGGGAGGAACACCAGAGGCGAAGGCGGCGACCUGGACCGAUACUGACGCUGAGAUGCGAAAGCGUGGGGAGCAAACAGGAUUAGAUACCCUGGUAGUCCACGCCGUAAACGAUGAGUGCUAGAUGUCGCGGGUAUUGACCCCUGCGGUGUCACAGCUAACGCGCUAAGCACUCCGCCUGGGGAGUACGGCCGCAAGGCUA
rnacentral:rRNA from 1 species